rnacentral:rRNA from 1 species
UACGUAGGGGGCAAGCGUUGUCCGGAAUCAUUGGGCGUAAAGAGCGUGUAGGCGGCCCGGUAAGUCCGCUGUGAAAGUCCAGGGCUCAACCCUGGAAUGCCGGUGGAAACUGUCGGGCUAGAGUCCGGAAGAGGCGAGUGGAAUUCCUGGUGUAGCGGUGAAAUGCGUAGAUAUUAGGAGGAAUACCAGUUGCGAAGGCGGCUCUCUGGACCGGUACUGACGCUGAGGAGCGAAAGCGUGGGGAGCGAACAGG